GUCAGGGAACUACGAGCUAAGCUUAAAACCCAAAGGACUUGACGGUGCCCCAUAUCCCCCUAGAGGAGCCUGUCCUAUAAUCGAUAAUCCCCGUUUAACCUCACCACACCUAGCUUAUCAGCCUGUAUACUUCCGUCGCAAGCCUACCACAUGAGCGAAGCCUAGUUAGCCCAAUGUCCACACAUAAAUGUGCUUACAUCGACAAUACGUCAGGUCAAAGUGCAGCAAACGCUGUGGGAUGAGAUUGGCUACACUUUUUAACCUAAAAGAAACGGAAAACAAUAAUGAAACUUUGUCAGAAGGUGGAUUUAGCAGUAAAAGAAAAAUAUAAAAUUUCUUUUAACUCGGCACUGGGGUGUGU
rnacentral:rRNA from 1 species